GACGAACGUUGGCGGCGUGCUUAAUACAUGCAAGUCAACUGAAGCACCGGUAGUAAUACUGGUGUGGAGGUGGCGCACGGUGAGUAACACGUAGGUAAUCUGCCUUCAGGUCUGACAUAACCCCGAGAAAUCGGGGCUAAUAGCAGAUGAUGCAGCGGCUUGACAUCAAGACAGUUGUUAAAGCUUCGGCGCCUGAAGAUGAGCCUGCGUCUGAUUAGCUAGUUGGCGGAGUAAUGGCCCACCAAGGCUACGAUCAGUAACUGGUCUGAGAGGAUGAUCAGUCACACUGGAACUGAGACACGGUCCAGACUCCUACGGGAGGCAGCAGUAAGGAAUAUUGCUCAAUGGGAGAAAUCCUGAAGCAGCAACGCCGCGUGAGGGAUGAAGGGCUUUUGCUCGUAAACCUCUGUAGUGAGGGAAAAAUUUCCAACUCUGUGGAAUAUGAUGGUACCUCAAAAGUAAGCCCCGG
rnacentral:rRNA from 1 species